AUUUUUUGGUGUGCUACACCUGCAGCUGACGACCUGCAUGACAGCGCACGGAGCUACACCUUCACCAUCCGUCGAUGUCUCCUAAAGUGAGAUCAGCAUAUGAGGCACCACUUCCAACAAGACAUCGCCGGUCUUCUUUCGGGUUGACCCAGGAGGCCACCGCAUCGCAAAAGAAGAUAAAAUCCUGUCGGGGAAGAAGAAGAAGAAGAAGAAGACGUGAUCCAACUUGCAUAAAAGGAAGUACACCUGGCAACGGGGACGGACACUUUUGACAUCACACGCUUUGGAGGCGGCGCUCAGGCAACACUGCUAUCUAAACCUGCUUAACUAUUAGAAUGAUCUUUAUUUGACACAUCCUUAGGUAAAACAUAACUUCAUGUUCAUAUCCAUGUGAGGAGACAUUUUUAACUAGCAUUAACCGACAAUAACCACCAGAAAAAAGUCUUGCAUGCACACAACACUAAAAGGAAGCCCAUUACAGCCAAUAGAGGGGAAACAACCUCUUGCCUACAUUGUUGUCAUGGCAACACGCUUAGCUCACAGACAAGAUAC